UCUGUUGGUCAAGGACCUGCUUUUGGGCUCUCAGUAUCUCAGUCCUCAUUGUAGUGCUGUUUUGGGUGGUCUUUUCUCUGCCUGCCUCAACUGACUGGACUUCUAUAGAAGCUCAGAACCUGGAGAAGCAGCAAGUGAGCUUUUAACUCUCCUUGCUGAAAAAUGGGCUUGAGACUAUCCCUCUAACUUUCAGUGCCUGACCUCAGUGAAACAAUUCAGCAGGGAGAUUUGAGAAGAUACUGAAAGCCUUAAGAAAAGUGAGUGACCUUCAGAAAAGAAGUGAUCCUGUGUUCUUGGGUGACUUUCCUGUUGGAGGGCUAAGCAAAACAGCCUAAACAAAAGAAGGGACUUGCACUGAGUCAACCCAGAGAUCGAUAAAGCAAUUUAAAGAAUAAAGUUUACAUAACUCAUACUCACUCAA